rnacentral:misc_RNA from 1 species
UCUCUCUCUCUCUCUCUCUCUCUCUGCUUCUCCAAAACCAGAAGGGCAGCCAACUGAACCUACUCACGGUUUCUCGAUCGAUCAAGAACAUCCAUUUCUAUGGCUUCUACUAACAGUCUCAUAUCUUCUUCUUUUACUUCUCGGCUCCAUCACCCAUUCAAGGAUUUCGCCCCUCAAAUCUUUCUUCAUCCUAUCGAUUCCUUUUCCAUUUUAUCUCCGAUUCGCCGCGAAAAUCGAAUCGUUUUCUCGAAAAGGAACAUUUUUUGUGCUUCUUCCAAUAACACAAAUGCUGCGAGCUCAAUCCCAUUGAAAUCUGAACAGGAAGAUUAUGUUCCCAUGCCAGUGGUUCUGAUAGAUCAAGAUUCUGACUCCGAAGCAACAAUUGUACAAAUCAGCUUUGGCGAUCGUCUUGGGNNNNNNNNNNNNCUACGAUAAAGGCCUUGAAAGAUUUGGGAUUGGAUGUGGCAAAAGGAUCUGUUCUCACAGAAGGAUCUGUUAAGCAAACAAAAUUCUUUAUUACACGUUUGGACAAUGGACGAAAGGUUGAAGAUCCUGAUAUGUUAGAGAGAAU